UAGAAGUGUGAAGAAACACUUAGUCGAAUCUGGUCGCAAAUGAGAUAUGAACCCAAAACCAUUGCUUUGAGGCAGUAAAUGGUGUGUCUAAAGUUUUUUAGGGUUAGAAUAUGUUUUUUUUUUUUUUGCUAAAUUAGUAAAUAUCAUUGAAAUGAAACAGUGUUGGUUUACAUUAUAGACCAAUAGUUUGGUUCCUUGGCAAAAAUUAGUUAAAAAACAAGGAAGCAAAAAAUCUCAAAAGAGAGAGCUAAUCAUCU
rnacentral:lncRNA from 1 species